rnacentral:lncRNA from 1 species
AGGAGAAAAAAAAAUUCGUUUCUCCCUAAUGAUCCCUAGAGCCCUUUUUAUCUAGAUUCUUAGAAUAGGGAAAAGAGAAAAUUUUGAUUGUCGCUUGAAAUGAUCCCUAAAGCCCUUUAUAUAAGCUCAGGCGCGUCAAAAGAAGCAGACUCUCCUCCCGCUGAUUGAUGACAUGUCUUCUUGUACUCCUUUGAUCAUGCGGCUUGUUGCAUCUUGGCCGCACAUGCUUCCACUACAAGAA